AAAUACAAUUUCACCGAAACGUGUCUAGAGCAUCGGCAAGAAAAAAUUAAAUGUGAAAAAAGAGAAAACAAAUUAAGCUGUAGCUCUAAUAAUCUGUUAGUUACAGCAGUCCAGGCAUGUUUAAGCAGCAGCAGCAGCGACAAGCGGGUGCUGUUGCCUUUAGUGGCAGUACUUGACAAUUGUGUCCAUGAUUUUGCCAACUGACCAAUUAUCUCCAUAACAAAAUUAUCGCUAUUUAUUUCACAGUUGAGUCUGUUGGUUAAAGCACUUGUCACCUUGCAUCUCUCUCAUCUCCUCGAUCCAUAGCAGCUGCUAAGAAAAGAAAGACACCAUGAAUCCUUAUGUUCCUGAUUUUGAAAUGGACGAUGACUACUCUCUCCCACCUCCUCCUUCAACCCAUACUCGCCCCAGAAAACCAGCCAUGCAGGAAGAAGAGAUCAUGGAGCUACUAUGGCAGAACGGCCAAGUAGUGAUGCAUAGUCAAAGAUCUCAAAAGAAAUCAUCUCCUCCGCCGUCCGAGUUGGAUGAUGCGGUGCUCCCAGCUGAUCAAUUACCUGGUACUAAAGAGAUCCGAUCAUCACAUGAUCAACAACAAGAACAUAACCAUCUUUUUAUGCAAGAAGAUGAGAUGGCUUCUUGGCUUAAUCAUCCUCUAAACGACACCAAUUUCGACCAUGAUUUCUGCGCCGAUUUGCUAUAUCCUCCGACAGCUUCCACCGCUUCCAUCACCAGGGAAGCUGCUGUCACCAACGCCGCUGCGUCUACUGUUCGAGGUGCGACUCAGAGAAUGGAAGCUAGGAGUUAUCCGGCGGUAUCGGCGCCGAGGCCGCCGAUUCCGCCAGUGAGGAGAGCGGAGGUGGUGCAGAACUUCGCGUACUUCUCGAGGCACCGAGCGGGAGGAGUUUCGGAAUCUGGACGGUCUAAUUCGAAGAGCGUGUUGAGGGAAUCGACGGUUGUUGACUCGUGUGAGACUCCAACAGCGAGAAUUUCGGAGACGGCGUUUGCUAGAAGUGCGGAUAACACGUGUGGGACCAUGAACGGCGCUGCUGUAGCAGGCACGGUUUCUAGUGCUCCCUCAAGUAAUAGAGAGAUGAUGACGAAUCCUUGUGAGAUGACCUCCACGUCAUCACCUGGUUGCUCGAGUGCUAGCGCUGAGCUGCCGGCUCUGAUGUCUCCAGUAGAAGACCGGAAGCGGAAGGGAAGAGAAGAGGAAGCUGAGUGCCAUAGCGAGGAUGCUGAGUUUGAAUCUGCUGAUGCAAAGAAACGAAUUCGUGGAUCAAUGUCUUCGAAGAGAUCUCGUGCAGCAGAAGUUCACAACCUAUCAGAAAGGAGACGCCGAGAUCGGAUCAAUGAAAAGAUGAGGGCUUUGCAAGAGCUCAUACCUCGUUGCAACAAGUCGGACAAAGCUUCUAUGUUAGAUGAGGCAAUUGAGUACCUGAAAUCGCUUCAGUUGCAAGUACAGAUGAUGUCUAUGGGAUGCAGCAUGGUCCCCAUGAUGUUUCCUGGCUUCCAGCAGUACAUGCCGCCAAUGGGGAUAGGGAUGGGCAUGGGCAUGGGCAUGGAAAUGGGAUUGAGUCGGCCAAUGAUGCCAUUUCCCAAUAUUUUGGCGGGUGCACCCUCAGCAACACCAACUGCAGCAGCUCAUUUGGUCCCUAGGUUCCCUGUGCCGCCCUUUCAUGUGCCCCCCAUCCCUGCUCCUGAUCCAUCCAGAGUCCAACCAACCAACCAGGUAGAUCCUAUGCUAGGCUCACCAGGUCAACAGAAUCCAAACCAACCACGAGUCCCAAAUUUUGUUGAUCCAUAUCAGCACUAUCUUGGCCUCUACCAGAUGCAUUUACAGAACCAAACUAUGGCUCAGCCAAGUACCAGCAAGCCAAGUACCAGCAAGCCAAGUACUAGUCGAGUAGCUGAGAAUCCUGGCAAUCACCAGUCAGCAGGUUGAAGUUUUUCCCGAUUACCUUGGAAGGCUCUUGCCUGUUCAGUUUUGUAGUGUAAGAGAGCAACAUUGGAGAGAGCUGUUUUUUUUUCAACUGUCUAAUACAACCAUAACACAGCUAACAUUGAAAUAUGGUGGAUGAUAGAACAUGAUGAAUACCAAGCCUAAUUAAGGAGACUCACAACCUCUUGAACAGAGAGAUGAAGCCUUGAAUCCAGGCUGGUGACGCUGAACUGGCUUUCCCAUACAUAAUUUUUCUGCUGUCAACUUGUGUUAUGAAAAGAACAGGACAUGUCUCUUCAUAUUCCUGAGCUGAAAAUCUCAACCUGUGAAUAAAAAGUUGAAAAGAGAUUUUUGAUUGAA